GGCAGAGCGCGUGUGGCGGCCGAGCACAUGGGCCCGCGGGCCGGGCGGGCUCGGGGCGGCCGGGACGAGGAGGGGCGACGACGAGCUGCGAGCAAAGAUGUGCCCCGGGACCCCCGGCACCUUCCAGUGGAUUUCCUUGCGGAAAGGAUGUUGGCGGUCCCUGUGACCUGUGGAGACACGGCCAGAUCUGCCCUCCAGCCUGAUCUUUUGGCCAGAAGGAGAUUAAAAAGAUGCCCCUCAAGAUGGCUGUGCCUGUCAGCUGCAUGGAGCUUCGUUCAAGUAUUUUCUGAGCCUGAUGGAUUUACAGUGAUCUUCAGUGGUCUGGGGAAUAACGCUGGUGGAACCAUGCACUGGAAUGACACACGCCCGGCACAUUUCAGGAUACUAAAAGUGGUUUUAAGGGAGGCUGUGGCUGAAUGCCUCAUGGAUUCUUACAGCUUGGAUGUCCAUGGGGGACGAAGGACUGCAGCUGGCUGAGAGGGUUGAGAUCUCUGUUUACUUAGAUCUCUGCCAACUUCCUUUGGGUCUCCCUAUGGAAUGUAAGACCCCGACUCUUCCUGGUGAAGCAUCUGAUGCACGUUCCAUCCGGCGCUCAGCUGGGCUUGAGAAUCCUGUUACACCUGGGAUUUAGGCACUUUCAAUCUGAAAAAAUACAUAUCCUUUCAGCACUCUGGACGGACUUGAGAACUGUCCUUACGUGACCUAAAGCUGGAGUAUUUUGAGAUUGGAGAAUUAAGAGCCAGUCUUGGUGCUCUGUGUUCACCUGGUUCAUCUGAGGAGCUGCAUCUACCCUGCCCAUGCCAUAGAUCCUGCCCUGUUUGCUUCUCCUGUUGCUGCUAGUGGACAUGAGGUAACCACAGCCUAGUUCUGUGAUAAGCUCUUCACACCUGUACCCAUAUGGACUGUGGGAGAGUUUCUCUGAUAUGGACUGUGAUGCGGAAGGACAGAAUAACGGGCUCCCAGAUUCACAAGCCCCACCAAGAGGAUCACCCCAGGAACGCUUGGAGGCUGAGGAGUUCACUGAGGCUACUGCAUCUUGAGACUCAGGAUGAAGACCCAGCUUGGGGCUGUCAAAGGUUUUUUGCAUGUCUGACACCCAUGACUCCACCUGGACCUUAUGGCUCCACCCAGAAGCAAUUCAGCCCAACAGGAGGACAGCUUCAACCCAUUACGAUUUCAUCUCUGCCCCAACCACUCAGCAGCAAGCACCUGUUACCUGUCCACCCCCACCCCUUCCCCCAAACUGCCUUUGAAAAAUCCCUAACCUAUGAGCUUUGAAUAAGAUGAGUACGAACUUCAUCGCCCACGUGGCGUGGCCGGCCUCGUGUCUAUUAAAUUCUUUUUCUACUACAA
rnacentral:lncRNA from 1 species